GACUUUUAAAAUUUCUACUCAUCCAUUUAUUUAUCUAGUAAUUCAAAGGGUCAACUCAAGGUUACUUCAAAUACGAGGUGUGCCAAUAACAUACAUUGGGCCAGCCCUCUUAUGGUUGAUUGAAUAAAGAGGAUAUUAUAGAGGGACUGGUACUCAAGUUUCUCUCCUCAAAGGGUUACGGAUACAUUCAGUCACGUUGCCUUCUUCCGGCUCCUUGUGUAUUAACUAUAAAAAGAUGGAUUCGAAAUUUUAAAACAAUCUAUUAUUAUCGAACUUGUAUCUCAACAAUUUAAAUCAAAAUUAAAAUCCUAAUGUAGUAUUUUUUCUUUCAGUAAUUUUAUUUCAUAUAAAUUAUCGUUAUAAUUUAUUGUUUGUUAAUGACGUUUUGGCUUGAAAUAUUUAAACUAAAUAGGAUGUGACUUGCAACGAUGAUCAGAAUCCCUUUGACAUAUAACUGUCUUUUUAGUUAUCAUAUCUUGAGACAGAUUAAGACCAAAGUCGACAAUAGUCCUAAGAUCUCAGAGGCCAUUGUAUAACGCUACAUAUACUUUUUUUUUAGUAUUCCACAAGUUAAUUUAUAUAAUAAUAUAUGUCAUGCUUGGAGCUAUGUCCAGCUUAUAUAUGUAUGAUGAUGUCAACGGAUAAGAAACUCAAUUUUAGAACUCGCGGGAUUCAUAACACAUCAGUGUGACGCAAUCCUCAACUCCUAAGUAUUUACAUAACCAACGAAGCAGUUAUCAUAUCAUGAAAUAUAUUGAAAAAGAUGAAGAAGCAGUACCUAACUUUUACAUUUAUAAUAAUUUAUUUUGUGUAUACCUUUUUAUAAAUCUGACAUUCCAAUCAGUUUGUUCUAUGCAUAAUAUUGAUGGCAUUUAGUUUAAUAAACCCAUAUGUCUUAGAA
rnacentral:lncRNA from 1 species